UGCGGAGCCUAACAAUGCAAGUCGAACGGUAACAGGAAGCAGCUUGCUGCUUCGCUGACGAGUGGCGGACGGGUGAGUAAUGUCUGGGAAACUGCCUGAUGGAGGGGGAUAACUACUGGAAACGGUAGCUAAUACCGCAUAACGUCGCAAGACCAAAGAGGGGGACCUUCGGGCCUCUUGCCAUCAGAUGUGCCCAGAUGGGAUUAGCUAGUAGGUGGGGUAACGGCUCACCUAGGCGACGAUCCCUAGCUGGUCUGAGAGGAUGACCAGCCACACUGGAACUGAGACACGGUCCAGACUCCUACGGGAGGCAGCAGUGGGGAAUAUUGCACAAUGGGCGCAAGCCUGAUGCAGCCAUGCCGCGUGUAUGAAGAAGGCCUUCGGGUUGUAAAGUACUUUCAGCGGGGAGGAAGGCGAUGCGGUUAAUAACCGCGUCGAUUGACGUUACCCGCAGAAGAAGCACCGGCUAACUCCGUGCCAGCAGCCGCGGUAAUACGGAGGGUGCAAGCGUUAAUCGGAAUUACUGGGCGUAAAGCGCACGCAGGCGGUCUGUCAAGUCGGAUGUGAAAUCCCCGGGCUCAACCUGGGAACUGCAUCCGAAACUGGCAGGCUUGAGUCUCGUAGAGGGGGGUAGAAUUCCAGGUGUAGCGGUGAAAUGCGUAGAGAUCUGGAGGAAUACCGGUGGCGAAGGCGGCCCCCUGGACGAAGACUGACGCUCAGGUGCGAAGCGUG
rnacentral:rRNA from 1 species